UAGGGAAUUUUCGUCAAUGGGCGCAAGCCUGAACGAGCAAUGCCGCGUGAACGAGGAAAGGUCUUCGGAUCGUAAAGUUCUGUUGAAGGGGAAAAAGAGCGGAGAGAGGAAAUGGUCUCCGAUUGAUAUUACCCUUCGAGGAAGUCACGGCUAACUACGUGCC
rnacentral:rRNA from 1 species